AUUCUUAUUCAAAUAAAUCCACAAAUCCAAACGUCAAAUACUAAAUAAUCUCUCUCGAGGACAUAUAAAAAUAAUAACAAAAGUCUCAAACUCCAAAUUACACGUUCAUAAAAAAGUAACUAAAUAGAAACACAAGUCUAUUCCUCCUCUUAUUCAAUCGCAAACGGAAACUGGAAAAAUUACUAACUCCAAAGCUAAGCGCACCUCUCAAAAGAAACUUAAUCUGCAAAAAGUAAUGACGAGGGGUGAGCCGUCAACUCGGUAAGUAAAACCAUUUCUAACAUACUAUGCUUAUCGAUACGAAGAUAUUGCAAGCCUUCUUUUGUUUAAAACAUAUAUCAUAAUCCAUAAAUUUUCAUAAAACGAUAUAUCACAUUAACAUAAGAUAAAUUCUUAAUAAUUCAGAAUAUUCAAAAGAAUAUUUACUUACGAAGCAAAUCAUGUAAUACGUAUACAGAAACAAAAAGGUUAGCUCAUGUCACAUAGUGUCACCUAUAGUCCCGGUGACCCGGCCAGAAACAGAAUCAGAAUAUCGUGUGCACACUCAGAACAUAAACCCAGUACUGGUCCAGACAGAUAUAUCAUAUAUUACGAUUAGAAUUAGAAUAACUAUGGACAAUGAGCCAAAACAUUAGGAAUCUCAUUCAAUCAUCAAUAAUUGAAAUCAAACAUGGGUAAAAACAUUCGUAUCAAAUUUAUAAAAGUUCAUAACAAUAAUUUAGGCUUGCAUAACAUUUAUAAAUAAAAUCAUAAAAGUAGGCAUGUAACAAAAUAACUUACAUAUUCAAAAGCAUUUAUAAAAUACUUUGUUAAAGAGAAUUUAGCUUUAAAACAUUUACAUAAAACUAAUUUUGUUAUCAAAAUCAAUUAAUCCUUUAAGCAGUAUAAAAACAUUUAUACUUAUAAUAAUAAUAUCAAAAUACUUAUACAUAUCCAGUAUGCUAGGAAUGAAGUUACUUACCUCGACAAAUGAACUUGAAUUAACCCACCUCUAAGCUUCUAAGAGCCUCAAUCACCUUCAACUCCUUAAACAAAUACAAGAUAUGACAAUUAAUGACUUAUUCUAAGAAUCUGAUUUUCUAAUUCAUACCUGUACAGGUCUGAUUCUCAGAAUUUUAACUCUUAAUCUAAAACUCAGAAUGAUAUAAUAUUCUAUGGAACUAUUCUGGACAUCCAUGAAUACCCCAUGUAAAAUUUACAAGAGGAUCCGAUAUCAAAAACAUUUUAAAAACUAUUUACUACUCAGCAAACUCGAAACUGUUUUCACAUAAUCUAAACCAAACAGAACGGGUUCCGUAAUUUUUAUAAAAUAAAAUACUAACCAGAAAAUUAUAAAAUUAAAACUGGGAAUCCUAGACACAUAUAUUAACCUACAUAUAAACUUUCAGAAUUUUCCGAGUUCAUUUGAUGGUACAAAUAGUCUUGUGAAUCCGAUCGCAAUGCUGGAAUCGCAGUUUUCCAGUGCGGUGGUUUCUGUUUCGAAAAUACAUAUAAAAUUCAAAACGAAAUCGAAUUCAAUGAAAUAAAAUUUAAUCAAGAAUCCCUACAUGUCUAGUUCCCAGAAAUAUAAAUUUUAUAAGAAAAUUCGUUCAGAAAAUAUAGCUUUAAAUUCGAGAUACUCAUGCUGUCCAGAAUUAUCCUGUGCUUAAUACGUCAAUGAUUGAUUAACUAAACUCAUAAUAAAUCAAAACCCUAAACAAGGCCUAAAUAUAUUAUAAACCAUGCAUUAUGAUCUACAACCAUUAGAAUCGUGCCAAUAUAAACUCUAGCUAGAUAGAGUGAUUAGAAAUCUGUUGAGAACAUGGAGAAUAACUUACCCGUCGCUUGAUUCUCUCCUAAACAAAGGUUUGAAUCCUAGGAUUUGGGUAAGAGCGUAAAGAGCAGCAGGGAAGAAGAAUAAACGUUGUGAAUUUAGGGUUAUGGGAGAGAAAAAGUAUGAAUUUAUAGGGAGUCUUAAGAAACCCUAUUUAGUUAGGAAAAAUAACCAUUUUCCCAAAAUUAUCUCAUAAAUAACCUCUUAAUAAGGGUUAUGGGCCACCCAUAAUUCUCAAUGAAAGCCCAAUUUCCAUAACUUAAUAUAUAUGAGAAUUUGUGUAAUUUCCUAUAUUACACAAUCCUGGCUCUGAUACCACAAUUGUAACACCCCAAAUCUAACACGUGUGGAGCACGUGAAGAAGGAGGUUACUCACAAAUCAAUGAUCUAUACUCAUAAGUUUCAAACUGAAAUACCUCCAAUUCUUAUUCAAAUAAAUCCACAAAUCCAAACGUCAAAUACUAAAUAAUCUCUCCUGAGGACAUAUAAAAAUAAUAACAAAAGUCUCAAACUCCAAAUUACACGUUCAUAAAAAAGUAACUAAAUAGAAACACAAGUCUAUUCCUCCUCUUAUUCAAUGGCAAAUGGAAACUGAAACUUAUUAGCUCCAAAGCCAAGCACACCUCUCAAAAGAAACUUAAUCUGCAAAAAGUAAUGACGAGGGGUGAGCCGUCAACUCAGUAAGUAAAGCCAUGCUUAACACACUAGGCCCAUCGAUACCAAAAAUAUUGCAAGCCUUCUUUUGUUUAAAACAUAUAUCAUAAUCCAUAAUUUUCAUGAAACGAUAUAUCACGAUAACAUAAGAUAAAUUCUUAAUAAUUCAGAAUAUUCAAAAGAAUAUUUACUUACGAAGCAAAUCAUGUAAUACGUAUACAGAAACAAAAAGGUUAGCUCAUGUCACAUAGUGUCACCUAUAGUCCCGGUGACCCGGCCAGAAACAGAAUCAGAAUAUCGUGUGCACACUCAGAACAUAAACCCAGUACUGGUCCAGACAGAUAUAUCGUAUAUUACGAUCAGAAUCAGAAUCAGAAUCAGAAUAACUAUGGACAAUGAGCCAAAACAUUAAGAAUCUCAUACAAUCAUCAAUAAUUGAAAUCAAACAUAGGUACAAAACAUUCGUAUCAGUUUCAUAAAAGUUCAUAUCAAUAAUUUAGGCUUGCAUAACACUUUAUAAAUAAAAUCAUAAAAGUAGGCAUGUAACAAAGUAACUCACAUAUUCAAAAGCAUUUAUAAAAUACUUUGUUAAAAAGAAUUUAGCUUUAAAACAUUUACAUAAAACUAAUUUUAUUAUCAAAAUCAAUUUACCCUUUAAGUAGUAUAAAAACAUUUAUACUUAUAAUAACAAUAUCAAAAUACUUAUACAUAUCCAGUAUGCUAGGAAUGAAGUUACUUACCUCGAGAAAUGAACUUGAAUUAACACACCUCUAAGCUUCUAAGAGCCUCAAUCACCUUCAACUCCCGUCGCUUGAUUCUCUCCUAAACAAAGGUUUGAAUCCUAGGAUUUGGGUAAGAGCGUAAAGAGCAGCAGGGAAGAAGAAUAAACGUUGUGAAUUUAGGGUUAUGGGAGAGAAAAAGUAUGAAUUUAUAGGAAGUCUUAAGAAACCCUAUUUAAUUAGGGAAAUAACCAUCUUCCCAAAAUUAUCUCAUAAAUAACCUCUUAAUAAGGGUUAUGGGCCACCUAUAAUUCUCAAUGAAAGCCCAAUUUCCAUAACUUAAUAUAUAUGAGAAUUUGUGGCGUUACAAUUUCUCCCCUCCUAACAAAAAUUUCGUCCUCGAAAUUAAAAGGUUAGCUCAUUGUAACCCUUAAUUACAAUUAAGUAUCUUGCCAGGUCUUGGUUGGGUCAUGACAUUAUGGUAUCAGAGCGGCUCCGCGUGUCCUCUUGAGCGAUGGUGGGGCAAACCUCAGCGAGGACGCUGAGUCCCCAAGGGGGGGUGUAUGUAACACCCUAGGCGAAUCCCACAUCGGCAAAGCACGGGAGAGAUGCUGGGUCAAAAGCAUUUAUAAAAUACUUUGUUAAAGAGAAUUUAGCUUUAAAACAUUUACAUAAAACUAAUUUUGUUAUCAAAAUCAAUUAAUCCUUUAAGCAGUAUAAAAACAUUUAUACUUAUAAUAAUAAUAUCAAAAUACUUAUACAUAUCCAGUAUGCUAGGAAUGAAGUUACUUACCUCGACAAAUGAACUUGAAUUAACCCACCUCUAAGCUUCUAAGAGCCUCAAUCACCUUCAACUCCUUAAACAAAUACAAGAUAUGACAAUUAAUGACUUAUUCUAAGAAUCUGAUUUUCUAAUUCAUACCUGUACAGGUCUGAUUCUCAGAAUUUUAACUCUUAAUCUAAAACUCAGAAUGAUAUAAUAUUCUAUGGAACUAUUCUGGACAUCCAUGAAUACCCCAUGUAAAAUUUACAAGAGGAUCCGAUAUCAAAAACAUUUUAAAAACUAUUUACUACUCAGCAAACUCGAAACUGUUUUCACAUAAUCUAAACCAAACAGAACGGGUUCCGUAAUUUUUAUAAAAUAAAAUACUAACCAGAAAAUUAUAAAAUUAAAACUGGGAAUCCUAGACACAUAUAUUAACCUACAUAUAAACUUUCAGAAUUUUCCGAGUUCAUUUGAUGGUACAAAUAGUCUUGUGAAUCCGAUCGCAAUGCUGGAAUCGCAGUUUUCCAGUGCGGUGGUUUCUGUUUCGAAAAUACAUAUAAAAUUCAAAACGAAAUCGAAUUCAAUGAAAUAAAAUUUAAUCAAGAAUCCCUACAUGUCUAGUUCCCAGAAAUAUAAAUUUUAUAAGAAAAUUCGUUCAGAAAAUAUAGCUUUAAAUUCGAGAUACUCAUGCUGUCCAGAAUUAUCCUGUGCUUAAUACGUCAAUGAUUGAUUAACUAAACUCAUAAUAAAUCAAAACCCUAAACAAGGCCUAAAUAUAUUAUAAACCAUGCAUUAUGAUCUACAACCAUUAGAAUCGUGCCAAUAUAAACCCUAGCUAGAUAGAGAUUAGAAAUAUGUUGAGAACAUGGAGAAUAACUUACCCGUCGCUUGAUUCUCUCCUAAACAAAGGUUUGAAUCCUAGGAUUUGGGUAAGAGCGUAAAGAGCAGCAGGGAAGAAGAAUAAACGUUGUGAAUUUAGGGUUAUGGGAGAGAAAAAGUAUGAAUUUAUAGGAAGUCUUAAGAAAC
rnacentral:lncRNA from 1 species